CCUACGGGUGGCUGCAGUGGGGAAUAUUGGACAAUGGGGGCAACCCUGAUCCAGCCAUGCCGCGUGUGUGAAGAAGGCCCUCGGGUUGUAAAGCACUUUCAGUGAGGAAGAACGCCUGGUGGUUAAUACCCAUCAGGAAAGACAUCACUCACAGAAGAAGCACCGGCUAACUCCGUGCCAGCAGCCGCGGUAAUACGGAGGGUGCGAGCGUUAAUCGGAAUUACUGGGCGUAAAGCGCGCGUAGGUGGCUUGAUAAGCCGGUUGUGAAAGCCCCGGGCUCAACCUGGGAACGGCAUCCGGAACUGGCAAGCUAGAGGGCAGAAGAGGAAGGUAGACCUCCCGGCGUAGCGGUGACAUGCGGAGAGAUCGGGAGGAGGGCCAGUGGCGAAGGCGGCCUUCUGGACUGACACUGACACUGAGGUGCGAAAGCGUGGGUAGCCAACAGGAUUAGAGCCCCGAGUGGUC
rnacentral:rRNA from 1 species